ACGCGAGACCUUACCAGGGCUUGACAUGUGCGGAACCCUGCCGAAAGGCGGGGGUGCCACCCUUGGGGUGGAACCGCAACACAGGUGGUGCAUGGUUGUCGUCAGCUCGUGUCGUGAGAUGUUGGGUUAAGUCCCGCAACGAGCGCAACCCUCGUCGCAUGUUGCCGGCGGGUAAGGCCGGGCACUCAUGCGAGACUGCCGGUGACAAACCGGAGGAAGGUGGGGAUGACGUCAAAUCAUCAUGCCCCUUAUGCCCUGGGCUACACACGUGCUACAAUGGCCGCUACAGAGCGUACCGAACCCGUGAGGGGGAGGCAAUCGCGAAAGGCGGUCCCAGUUCGGAUCGCAGGCUGCAACUCGCCUGCGUGAAGCCGGAGUUGCUAGUAAUCGCGGAUCAGCAUGCCGCGGUGAAUACGUUCCCGGGCCUUGUACACACCG
rnacentral:rRNA from 1 species